UUCUUAGUUAUGUGUAUGCUGUGGUGGAAUACUGUAUCAGAUGAUCCUGGCAGGUUUGGGUUAACCGGUGUUAACCCGGUCAUUGGCCCGGUUCUGUGCAACUCCCUGCAGGUUCCAGGAUUCAUCCUGUCUUCCAUGUGUCCAUGCUUAAACCAUUCAAAGGGAUCCUUACCACUUAUGAGGAGGCACUUGAAUUACCUACUGGCAGUGUGGACAACCAACCUAAGUUUGAACCAUUAGCCAUUGUUGGUGAAAGAAGGGUUCGAAGACAAGGGACAUGGGUAUCCCAAUGGCUAGUACAGUGGAAAAUUUUACCUUUGGAAGAAGCUUCUUGGGAGGAUGGUGCUGAAUUCAAGAAAUUGCAUCCAUCUAUACACCUCGAGGACAAGGAGUUUUUUAAUGGUAGAGGGAAUGAUACAGGUAAGAAGGAUAUUCCACAUGGGGAUGAAAAUAUAGAAGAUUCUAGGUCUAAGAGAAGCAUCAAGAAACCCAGCUGGCUGAGAGAUUUUGAAGCUUAAGGUGGUGGGUUAACCCAAUUGAUGAUUAGUUAGAAAAGGGGUCAACUAGUUGGGUUAAUUAGUUGGGUUAAUUGAUUGAUUUGUUGUAACUAAUUCUGUUGUGCUGUAACAGAAUUAUUCUUUCUGGUUUUCUCUUCUUCUUCUUAUCUCUGACAUUUCUGGAGUUUUCAGUUCUUUAACUCGAAUCAAGAGCAGAGCAGGCUUGAGUUGUAUCACUCUUCUUCUAACGAUAGUGCAAAUCUCUGGGUUAAUUCUCAAGUUUCUUGUAUAAUCCACUGAUAUCUGAUGCUGUAGUCUCAUCCAUGCUUACUGAAAGCCAAGAAGGUCUUUGUUGGAAGAGUGGUAAAAUGAUGUUGUCAGUGGGCAUUCUUUCUAAUGGUUCAUGUUCAGGAUUAUUAUACCUGGAUCUGAGUUGCCAGUGGGUCGUAAUUCUUGUAUAGCAGUUAGUAACUUGCGGACUGAUGGCGCAUUGACUGGUUAAAGUUGUCUUACUAUAUGGUUUUUAAUAUUUUGGUAUCUUCUGAUUAACUAUGUCUGACCUGCUGGUCAAACUAGAUUGUUCCAGCCGGCCCCUUUCUGGUUUGGCAUUGGAGUAUCCUUAUUCUUGCUAAAAUUGAACUCUUCUGCAAUAUAUACCACAAUCUUUGCAUCUUACUCUUAAAAAUCUGAGUCUUUUAGGUUUGAGUUAAAAUCUGUGAAUUGUAUCUCACAUGUUCCUUGAAAUUUCUUGGUACUUGAGUAACUAUUGAUCAUAUGACAUUGUCAUUCUUCUAAUCAGUCAGUGCUCCUACGUAAUUCCUGGACUUUCACUUAAUAUGGCCUAUUUGUAGUUGAUUUGCUAGGUGAAUCUCCCUAUUGAGUGUGGUCACUGUUUAUGCUCUCAAGAAUCUCAGCAGUGGUUGUUUAAUACUUAUUUCCACUUGUUAGCCAGUGAUUUUAUCAUAUCAAACACAUUCCAAGUUCUUGUUUUCAUUUGAUUCUUCUUAAUCACAUUCUUGUUUAAGGAUUGGGUCCUUAGGGAUAAUCCCAACUCAUUUGUGUCUACUAUAAUAAAUCAUAAGGAUGGUAUUAAGGGAGGCAAAUUUAGCAAAAAGAUAAUACCAAUAUCUGAGAAAAAUGAGUUCAUUCUUUUCAUUGAUUUGGGAUAUUUUUAUGCUAAUAUUUAUUUGAAUCCUUAAGAAAAAAAUAUUUUAUAACUUAUAUGUUCAAGAAAUAUAUAUAUAUAUAUAUAUAUAUUUUGGGUACUAUAAUAAUGUCUGGAGCUUGCACCAUCUAAAUGGUUCUGGAUCUCGGGUUUGGAACUGAUUAGCUCAUUGAUUCAAUUCUGGUCCGGAUUCCUUAGGAUCGAAACAAUUAAAAGACUGAACCAAAUGCCCAAAACCGGACCCAUUUACACCCCCCUCUCUCCCAUUCGGCAAAAUCAACUCUUCACUUGUUAGAUAUAAUAAUCCAUGUUUGAAAUAUCCACCACAGGCAAUGGGGUAGACUAUAUUCCAUAAAAAAAAGUGGGGGAGGGGGGUGGGGGUAGUACUAGACUCCUUUUUUCUUUUAGACAUUUUAUUGGUUUUACUAUUUAAGGGAAGAACUGAUGGGGACAUCAAACUAUUCUUGUAUGGUUAGGACCCUAGUUUCAAGUAGAGCCCAGUGCAGCUACUGAUUACACCUUUGUUUCCUAUGGACAACAUCAUUUUCUUAGUUGGACUUAUGGCUAUAGAAGCUUACAGUGGGUGGUAGGAAAUACUAAACCCUCUUCAUCUACCAUAUGCUAUAGCCAAGUUAAGCUUAGUUGAGGUACUGUCUAGAUUAUGCUGAGUCAAAAGCCGGGGUGACCUCUUCAUCUACAUGGGUUGAUUUUCAAUUUCCAAAUUUGUGGGUAAUAUGAUGACACAGUGCCAAUUGUCCCCUAAGGGUUUGUCUAAGAUUGAUACCCCAUGAUUGAUGUCAUUUAGGUUGGCAUCAAAUUCCCAAGCAGCCGGCAAACAUGUGUGGGUCUAUAUGUGCAAGUUAUCUUCUACUCCAUCUCUGUUUCUGUCAAACCUACUUUGUCUCAUGGGAAGGGUUCCAUAAAGCCAAGGAGAUUGUCUUACCCUAAUGCUCAAAAACCUGCUGAAGAGAAGGCAAAUGCUAAGGUAUCAAGCAUGUCUGGUUCUGAAACUGAAGAAACAAACACCAAGCAAGAGCCAUUAUCUCACUGAAGAACAGAGCUGGAGUAGAAAGAAGAGUUGUUUCUUUGAUCCUGCUUUCUAAUUGGAGGUGAGUGAUUAAAAAACAAAAAGGUGAUUUUAUUUUUUUGGGUGAUGUGUAGUAAUAUGUUUGUUGUGCAGUGUGCAGAAAAAACGAAGUUAGAAUUGGUACUCUCUUAAGCUUCUGUCAUGCAGCAAGAAGUUUAGUUGAUGCAAUUUCAGUAGUUUAUUGAAGGAAUUCAUAAAAUGAUGCAAGUUUGACAUUUCAACAUAUUUAUAUAAUAUUUAUGAAGCCUUGUUUUUUUUUUUUUUUCCGAAGCAAAGGGUGGUUUGAAUUUUCUGUUUCUGGUUGGUUUGCGUUAUCUGAUCUGAUUCAUACUUUUACGCACAGGAAGGAUAUCUUGGAUCUGAAUUUCAACUGUGAAAAUGUCAGGCUAAUAAUUGAUCAAUUGGAAAUAUGCACUGGUCCUGCACCCAUUUUUUUGAACCGCUGCAGCUUCUUGAUGAUGUAUCUCGCAUGGCUAGUCUGAAUAGUGUGGGAAGCAUGAGUGCCUUGGCCCUUCAAGCUGUGGCUGGACCAUAUAUGUGGAAUAGCCAGUGGUCUUUGGCUAUCCAGCACAUUGCUCAUGGAACCCUUUCUCUUGUAUGAAAGCAACCUAUCCCCUUGCAGUAGCUUUUCUGGAGAUAAUACGUUUCAAUAGCAAUGGCGGCAUCCUUAACGGCAGUUCUAGUUUCAGUGCCUCAAGAAGUGCAUUCAGCUGUGUAUUUGAAUACCUUGAAACUCCAAAUCUAAUGUCAGCUGUCUCUCAGUGUUUGAUUGCAAUUGCAUGUCCAUAGGGCUUCCGAAACAGCAGUGUCAUGGCUGGUAUUUACUUCUAUCUAAUUAGGCUCUACUUGAACUUGUCCUUUAGCCUGCUUAGGUCUGGGAAUUGUGGAAUGUAUCCAUAUGUAUACAUAUUCUCAUUCUUGUUAUCUUGUAGAUAGGCAAGACCUUUGUAUGCAUUUGAAGUUAUAAGAAUAACUUCGCUAAUUCAGGAACCCCAGCCCUUACGUCAAGAGGAUUUGUUGAAGAGGAUUUUGUCAAAGUAUCUGAAUAUUUUGACACUGCUGUGAAGUUGGCAGUAAAGAUCAAGUCUGAAUAUGACUUCUUUUUUUUUUUACAUGUUGACCUGCAGCCCAAAUGUGUGUAUGUAAAGGUGGUAAAAUUUACUGAGAAAAUUUUACUUCAUGUUACGGGUUUUCACAUGUCAGGGACAAAGUUGAAGGACUUCGUGGCUACAAUCCAGACUCGUGAAGACAUCCAAUCUGAAAUUUCAAAACUUUGCCAUGAUGUUGAGGAGUAUGCAAAGAAAUUCCCAACAAUUGGGUUUGAGAAAGAAACAAUGAAGUACAAAGUCUGAGGGAAACCGAAAUAUCUUUUUCUGUUAGCUGUAAGUGAUCUUUCUAGAUCAGUUGCCGUACCUCUAAUUUUCUGAAGUGGCAUGGUGAGAGUCAAAUCCUGGUUUCCUUAUCAAGGUGAUGAUAAACAUUUUUUACUUGUGAAAAUGAUCUCAAGUUUGAUCAUCUCCUGUUUCUUUUUGAAUUAAUGCAGCUAAGUAUGCUGCUAUAUUGGCAAAGGACAGUGUAUUGGCGAUUGGCCUAUAUUUAUAUAACAUGGCAAAGAAAGAUUCAGAAUCUCAUUUGCACAGAAUCCAUUUCUCACUAUAUCUCAUUCAUGUUUCUGUAGAACAUUGAAAUGGCAGUGAAAACUGUAACUCAAAGAUCCCCUGGAAUUAAUGCAGCCGGUUGAAAAAUGAAGCCUUUUGCAUAUGGUCAUGAAGGAUGAAAGAUUGUAGAGCUUUUGGCUAUGAUAUCAAGCGGAACAUUUCGUUGAAAUUUUCUAAAUGGAACUGUGUACAUAUUAUUUACUAAUGGUCCGCAAUAUAAACUGGCCUUGAAUUAUGAAGUAUAUCUAUGAUAUGUGUUUGCCAUGAGUAGGUUCAGGACAUUGUGUCUCUUGCUUUCAUCCUGGCAAUUGAACAAGCACUGAGAGUUUGGUGUAUAUUGUACAUUGAGAAAUAAAUUGUAUAUUCUAUUUUCUUUUCGUGGA